rnacentral:rRNA from 1 species
UACGGGGGGGGCAAGCGUUGUUCGGAAUUACUGGGCGUAAAGGGCUCGUAGGCGGCCAACUAAGUCAGACGUGAAAUCCCUCGGCUUAACCGGGGAACUGCAUCUGAUACUGGAUGGCUUGAGUUCGGGAGAGGGAUGCGGAAUUCCAGGUGUAGCGGUGAAAUGCGUAGAUAUCUGGAGGAACACCGGUGGCGAAGGCGGCAUCCUGGACCGACAUUGACGCUGAGGAGCGAAAGCCAGGGGAGCAAACGGG